rnacentral:rRNA from 1 species
GUGAGGAAUUUUCCGCAAUGGGCGAAAGCCUGACGGAGCAAUGCCGCGUGAAGGAUGAAGGCCUAUGGGUUGUAAACUUCUUUUCUCAGAAAAGAAUUAUGACGGUAUCUGAGGAAUAAGCAUCGGCUAACUCUGUGCCAGCAGCCGCGGUAAGACAGAGGAUGCAAGCGUUAUCCGGAAUGAUUGGGCGUAAAGCGUCUGUAGGUUGUUUAAAAAGUAUUCUGUCAAAGAUUAGGGCUUAACCCUAGAUAGGCAGAAUAAACUUUUAAGCUAGAGUUUGGUAGAGGCAGAGGGAAUUCCCGGUGGAGCGGUGAAAUGCGUAGAGAUCGGGAGGAACACCAGUGGCGAAGGCGACUUACUGGACUGUAACUGACGCUGAGGCGCGAAAGUGUGGGGAGCAAACAGGAUUAGAUACCCGGGUAGUCC